rnacentral:rRNA from 1 species
AUUGAACGCUGGCGGCGUGCCUAAUACAUGCAAGUCGAACGCAGUGGGGACGGGUGCGUAACACGUGGGUAACCUCCCAUCAGAGGGGAUAACACUUGGAAACAGGUGCUAAACCGAUAUUGGUGGAUGGACCCGCGGUGAAUUAGCUAGUUGGUGAGGUAACGGCGCACCAGGGCCACGAUGCAUAGCCGACCUGAGAGGGUGACCGGCCACAAUGGGACUGAGACACGGCCCAGACUCCUACGGGAGGCAGCAGUAGGGAAUCUUCGGCAAUGGACGAAAGUCUGACCGAGCAACGCCGCGUGAGUGAAGAAGGUUUUCGGAUCGUAAAACUCUGUUGUUAGAGAAGCGGUAUCUAACCAGAAAGCCACGGCUAACUACGUGCCAGCAGCCGCGGUAAUAC